UACGGAGGAUGCGAGCGUUAUCCGGAUUUAUUGGGUUUAAAGGGUGCGUAGGCGGGAUGCCAAGUCAGCGGUAAAAAUGCGGUGCUCAACGCCGUCGAGCCGUUGAAACUGGCGUUCUUGAGUGGGCGAGAAGUAUGCGGAAUGCGUGGUGUAGCGGUGAAAUGCAUAGAUAUCACGCAGAACACCGAUUGCGAAGGCGGCAUACCGGCGCCCUACUGACGCUGAGGCACGAAAGCGUGGGUAUCGAACAGG
rnacentral:rRNA from 1 species